rnacentral:rRNA from 1 species
AUUGAACGCUGGCGGCAGGCCUAACACAUGCAAGUCGAACGAGUGGCGGACGGGUGAGUAAUGUCUGGGAAACUGCCUGAUGGAGGGGGAUGACUACUGGAAACGGUAGCUAAUACCGCAUACCAUCGGAUGUGCCCAGAUGGGAUUAGCUGGUCGGGGGGGUAACGGCUCACCGAGGCGACGAUCCCUAGCUGGUCUGAGAGGAUGACCGGCCACACUGGAACUGAGACACGGCCCAGACUCCUACGGGAGGCAGCAGUGGGGAAUAUUGCACAAUGGGCGAAAGCCUGAUGCAGCCAUGCCGCGUGUAUGAAGAAGGUCUUCGGGUUGUAAAGUACUUUCAGCGGGGAGGCGUUACCCGCAGAAGAAGCACCGGCUAACUCCGUGCCAGCAGCCGCGGUAAUAC